rnacentral:lncRNA from 1 species
CAGAUGCCAUGUUUACUGUCAGAGAGAAACCACAUCAGUCCUAGACCAGUAGGUGGAAACACCAAAGUGACCAUCUUGGGUGUGGGUAAUGUCAGUAUGGCAUGUUCCCUCAGUAUAUUACAGUCGAGUGUGGCUGAUGAAGUCACCGUGGUGGAUGCUAUAGAGGACUGCAUGGAGAGGAGCUGGACACGCAGCAAGCCAGCCUCUUCCUGAAGACCUCCAAGAUCACAGCCGCCAGAGACUACUCAGACACAGCCAACUCCAAGCUGUGCGUCAUCACUGCAGGCAUGCGUCAGAGGAAGAGGGAGAGUCGUCAGGAUCUGCUCCAGAGGAACAUUUAGGUGUUGAAGCAGAUCAUCCCUCAACUGGCCCAGCACAGCCCUGACACCAUCCUCCUGGUCAUAUAAACCCCUAGUACCUCACUACACCAUGUCCACUUCUUAUAUUCGUAUAUGGAGAAGUGAGUAGGAUAUUAUCAGACUGAUGAGAAGAGUCAAGUCAAACUUAGUUACAUGACUCAUUUUCCCUAAGUAAAGGUUUCUUCCUAGCGUGGAGAAACCCUGUCCAAUAGUAAUUGAGCAUGUAUAUAUUUGUUUCUAACCCUGGCUGGUGGCUAACCCGAUGGUACUGAACUCUGUGGCACUCUGAUGGAUGUGCUGACCUAUGUGGCAUGGAGGCUGAGUGGGUUCCCUCAGAACAGGGUCAGCGGAACCAAUCUGGACUCAACAUCGUUCUCCUACUUGACGGGAGAGGGACUGCAGAUCCACCCUAGCAGUGUCCACGGACACAUCAUAGGAGAGCACCGGGACUCCAGUGGUGCCACUCCCCUGUAUCAGGAGGGGUGCAUCACUUGAGUGGGUUGAGUCACUGACACGGUCUUCCUGUCUGGGUUGCCCCCCCGGAUUGUGCCAUGGCGGAGAUCUUUGUGGGCUAUUCUCCGGCCUUGUCUCAGGAUGGUAAGUUGGUGGUUGAAGAUAUCCCUCUAUUGGUGUGGGGGCUGUGCUUUGGCAAAGUGGGUGGGGUUAUAUCCUGCCUGUUUGGCCCUGUCUGUCCGGGGGUAUCGUCAGACGGAGUCACAGUGUCUCCCAACCCCUCCUGUCUCAGCCUCCAGUAUUUAUGCUGCAGUAGUUUAUGUGUCGGGGGCUAGGGUCAGUCUGUUAUAUCUGGAGUAUUUCUCCUGUCUUAUCCGGUGUCCUGUGUGAAUUUAAGUAUGCUCUCUCUAAUUCUCUCUCUCUCUCUCUUUCUCUCUUUCUUUCUUUCUUUCUUUCUUUCUUUCUUUCUUUCUUUCUUUCUUUCUUUCUCUCUCUCGGAGGACCUGAGCCCUAGGACCAUGACUCGGGACUACCUGGCCUGAUGACUCCUUGCUGUCCCCAGUCCACCUGCCAUGCUGCUACUCCAGUUUCAACUGUUCUGCUUGCGGCUAUGGAACCCUGACCUGUUCACCGGACGUGCUACCUGUCCCAGACCUGCUGUUUUCAACUCUCUAGAGACAGCAGGAGCAGUAGAGAUACUCUGAAUGAUCAGCUAUGAAAAGCCAACUGACAUUUCCUCCUGAGGUGCUGACCUGUUGCUCCCUCGACAACCACUGUGAUUAUUAUUAUUUGACCCUGCUGGUCAUCUAUGAACGUUUGAACAUCUUGGCCAUGUUCUGUUAUAAUCUCCACCCGGCACAGCCAGAAGAUGACUGGCCACCCCUCAUAGCCUGGUUCCUCUCUAGGUUUCUUCCUAGGUUCUGGCCUUUCUAGGGAGUUUUUCCUAGCCACCGUGCUUCUACACCUGCAUUGCUUGCUGUUUGGGGUUUUAGGCUGGGUUUCUGUACAGCACUUUGUGACAUCAGCUGAUGUAAGAAGGGCUUUAUAAAUACACUUGAUUGAUUGUACUCCAGGCAGUCAUAGACAGGUAAUGAAGAUCAGCAUUGUCCUUGUCACAAGUAAAUGUGUAUCACCAAUUAAUCUCUAGAAACAGGGGCAUAGAUUACUGUUAGAGCAAGUCAGUAUUAUCUUGAGUAUGUAUACACACACAGUAAUAUGGGACUCUAAAGUAGUGGAAAAUGUCUCUUCAGUGGUUAUGAGGUGAUUCGGCUGAAGGGGCACACCCCCUGGGUCAUUGGUCUGAGUGUGUCCAGCCUAGCACAGGUCAUACUGAAGAACCUCAGCACCAUUCACCCUGUGUCCAUCCUUGUCAAGUAUGUGUGUUCGUGUGUGUGUGUUUCCCAGGGCAUGUGUGGGAUAGAGGAGGAGGUGUACUCACCCAGCCCCUGAGGGAGACAGAGGUUCAGGGGCUGCAGGAGAGGGCAUGGUUCCUGGGACAAACCAACAGCGAGCUGAUCCUCUGAGCCACGGAACUCCAGGACAAAGAAUGAAUCAAGCUCAUACAUUAGUUUACACUGAGGUUAACUGAUGUUGUCAUGUGUACAGUAACAACGUCUAAACACUAAACAUGACCCAUCAAGCUCAUACAUGUGAUUUGUAUAUAUUUGUGUUGUAUCAUCAAUAGAUGUCUGUAUCGCAAAACAAAUAUACAGACUGCGUGUGAUGAAUAAAGAGUUAUUGGAA